rnacentral:rRNA from 1 species
GAUGAACGCUGGCGGCGUGCCUAAUACAUGCAAGUCGAGCGAACAGACGAGGAGCUUGCUCCUCUGACGUUAGCGGCGGACGGGUGAGUAACACGUGGAUAACCUACCUAUAAGACUGGGAUAACUUCGGGAAACCGGAGCUAAUACCGGAUAAUAUAUUGAACCGCAUGGUUCAAUAGUGAAAGACGGUUUUGCUGUCACUUAUAGAUGGAUCCGCGCCGCAUUAGCUAGUUGGUAAGGUAACGGCUUACCAAGGCAACGAUGCGUAGCCGACCCGAGAGGGUGAUCGGCCACACUGGAACUGAGACACGGUCCGACUCCUACGGGAGGCAGCAGUAGGGAAUCUUCCGCAAUGGGCGAAAGCCUGACGGAGCAACGCCGCGUGAGUGAUGAAGGUCUUCGGAUCGUAAAACUCUGUUAUUAGGGAAGAACAAAUGUGUAAGUAACUAUGCACGUCUUGACGGUACCUAAUCAGAAAGCCACGGCUAACUACGUG